UUGAGAUAAGCUUCUAAAAAUACUAAUUACGGUUAUAUAAAUUCGGAAAGCCCUAGAUUCUGUAAUCCACUCGUUUUUGUAAAAUAGCUGAUAUGUCCAAAAUUCUAUUAUCAUAUAAAAUAUUGAAUUAUGUAAACGGUAUAAAUUUUACAUUAAUCGUUAUAUGAGUGUAAUUCCAUUUUUGAAGAAAGUCCCUUAAAAAUAUAGAAACUGAAGGUCGGGAUAUAUAUGAUGACUGCGACAGAAUAAUCCAUAAAACAAGUACUUAAAACGGUAAAUGAUAUCGCAGGAACUAAGCCAAACAUAGGGAAAGAUUGGAAGUAAACACGAGAAGUUAAAAUCAAAAUUAACCUGUAAAUUUGCCUUAGAUGAGAGUACUCAGAUUACUAGUUACUCAAAAAUUUCAAGAAGAGGCACAGUUCUUAAAUGGGUCAAAUGUCAAAAAAAGCAUUGAUAACUUGUCAAGAAUCUUAUGCUGAAAUAUCCUGGUCAGGUUAAAUUUUAGAAACAUUCCAGAGAAAAUAAAGCAAUAUUUUGGAUAUAAUGAAAACUCAAGCGAUUAAACCUAGUGAACCAUGCAUCAACCAUGAAGUUCUAGCUAUAACAGAAAGAGGGAGGCACUAUCUGCUUACCACAGUCAAAGAACAGAUCCUUUUUUAAAUCUGAGCAGAAGAAACGAAGAAUUAUCUUGCUAAUGUAUAAAAACACACUAAAAUCUCUCAAAACUCCCUGUUUGAUCAUGACACACUUUAAUUAAAAAUACGGUAGAACAAAAAUUUAUGUCAAAAAAGAAAUGUUGAAAAAUGUUAGUGAAAUAAAA